UACCAGCACCCCGAGUGGUCGGGACGAUUAUUGGGCCUAAAGCAUCCGUAGCCGGUCCUGCAAGUCUUCCGUUAAAUCCAGCUGCUCAACAGAUGGGCUGCGGAGGAUACUACAGGGCUAGGAGGCGGGAGAGGCAAGCGGUACUUUAUGGGUAGGGGUAAAAUCCGUUGAUCCAUAGAAGACCACCAGUGGCGAAGGCGGCUUGCCAGAACGCGCUCGACGGUGAGGGAUGAAAGCUGGGGGAGCAAACCGGA
rnacentral:rRNA from 1 species